UACGGAGGGGGCUAGCGUUGUUCGGAAUUACUGGGCGUAAAGCGCACGUAGGCGGCUUUGUAAGUUAGAGGUGAAAGCCCAGGGCUUAACCCUGGAAUUGCCUUUAAGACUGCAUCGCUUGAAUUGUGGAGAGGAGAGUGGAAUUCCCGGUGUAGCGGUGAAAUGCGCAGAUAUCGGGAAGAACACCCGUGGCGAAGGCGGCUCUCUGGGACGGUACUGACGCUGAGACGCGAAAGCGUGGGGAGCGAACAGG
rnacentral:rRNA from 1 species